rnacentral:misc_RNA from 1 species
AAGUCGUAACAAGGUUUCCGUAGGUGAACCUGCGGAAGGAUCAUUAAUACGUAUCCAACGUUAAACCCCCCCUGUGAACUUUUACACUUGCUUCGAAGCGCGCUGGAAUUGCAAUCCCUGGUAAAUCAUUGUUGAACAGGUUUUGAUUCAGGGACCUCAGUUCUGGAGUAGCCUAGUUGAGCGAUCGUGCGCAAGUAACCUGGUUUCCCCAAGCAGUCAGUGUCUGAAAGUGUCAUUGAUUGUGUAAGGAUAACGCUUUUCGAUCACUGGAGGCCGACACCGGCCGGUGGACAGGUUGCAGUGGCUUCACGGCCCCAUAUUAACCCCACUACCUGUACCGGCCUCGUAGGAAACUACUGGGCAACAAACGAACAACUGUUAACAAUGGAUAUCUUGGUUCUC